rnacentral:lncRNA from 1 species
AUGACCUUCUUUGGCUUAUGUAUGGCUCUAUUAUUAACACUUCCCAGAACAUCAUUUGUCUGUUUUGCAAUCCUGUCACAGAACUUGACUCAUACUCAGCUUAUGACCCGUGUAACCCCAGGUUUUCCUCUACAGAAAGCACUGCAUGAGGAUUUUGAGCUCACUCUGAAGUACAGACUAGGGUGGAUCACGUUGUGUUGUGACAGCUGUGAGGAAAGAGAGCCUCAGGGCCUGUAUCUACCAGCCACCACCAGCCCAGACAUAGCUGAAAAAGGGGUUUUCUUUAUUAUUGAUUGAUUUUAUUAUUGUUUGAUUAUAAUACCUGUUCUUUCUCCGGUGUUCUUGGUUGUACCCAUUUUAUAAAUGUAACAUUUUUCACAUGCAAAUGUGCUUUCAGACAGAGUUGUGUACUCCUUGACGCACCAUAUCCCUGUUGACUCAUCUUCUUGAUAAAACGUUGUCUUACAACAACCUGGAUAUGCUUAAACUUAGGUAUAAUUGGGAGAAUAUAUUAUAACUCAUAGUUGUCCAAAUAAGAGCAAGUUAAACUGAUACUGUUUUAUGUAUGAAAUGUUCCAUAAAUACCACAUUCCCUGCCUGAAUUUAACCAACACUGAAAGUCGAACAAUUAAAAAGAGAAAAUCUUUAGUAACUAGCUGUAUAGCCCAAAAUACUAAGUACUGGUGGUAAAAUUUAUGUAUAUACAAGUGCACAUAAACACAAAGUGGUUUGGAACACUGUUCAAAUGGUCUUCCAGGAAAAAAAAAAAAAGAGGAAAAAAAAAACAUAAAAACUGUGCUCUAUUUGGUUUCUGAAUUAACCAACUCCAUUAUAAGGGCUCCUGUGUUGAACUCUUGUCUUAUUCCACCGUGGUCAGACAGUAAAUUAUACAGUAAGUGUUACAACAGAGGGACAAGCUAUGUCCUAUCAAUAUACGUGUUCCACAUUAAAAAAAAAAAAAGUUCUAACUCCAACCUGACCACCUUCCUUGGUAGCCUUGGACAGAUCAACCAAAGGGUUCUCAUUUAUCUACCUUGCUUGCUGUUGCGAUGGAAAAUAAGCACUUAUCAAGUGCUCAAGGACAGAAGCGUGCACUUGUGCACCACGUGAUUUACUGUUGCUAGUGUUACCAUUUCCUCCCUCAAUCGAGCACUAUCUUUUCAUUAUCAGUAUAAAGGAAGGAAUAAAGCCAGAGCCUAUGGCA